UAUUUUGAUGAUGAUAUUAUCGAGUAGGAAUCUCAUUGAGCUUCAGUCAUGCGUUGCUUUGAAAUUAACUUAAACUCUCCUGAUUUGCAAAUU
rnacentral:snoRNA from 1 species